rnacentral:lncRNA from 1 species
AGGUAUUUCAGAGGAAUGUGCUUCUUCCGACUUCAAUUCUCCAGAUAUUUCUCUGAAACGUUAGCUUCAUUUUGCAUGUAUAAUUACAGCCUCAAGUCGUUUGGAGAGCAAGUCUCAAGGUAGUCGAAAACUUCUCACCCCCCACCCUCAUGCAAAUCAAGUCGGUUGCUCACCAUUCAACCUCAAAUCUCCCCUGAAACCUUUUGAAUGAAUAAUCCAUUUUGGAAUUAUCCUUAAGCCAGCGUUUCCAAGGCUGGUUUGGAGGAUGGGGUGCUUUAGUAAGAAUACAGAUGCCGGAACCCCAUUCCUGGAAGCUCAAAACCAGCAAGUCUGGGACAGGGCUUGGCACCCUGUGUUGUUCAAGUUUAUGUAGCAGAAUGGCCAGGUUUACACUCCCCGCUCUCCACCCGCCAAGGAGAAGAAAAUGCUAAAUUAGGCCCGUUAACUUAGCUGCUGCCUCACAGGGGGUAAUUUGUAGACCCAAGGCUGAACCUGAAGGCUGGAGCUAAGAGUGAACAAGAAGAUGGGUUUUCCUCUCUGGUAACACAAGUUCAGUUGCAAUUUAGAUCCCCAAGAAAUGUACCUGGGGUCUUUGGAAAUGACCUGAAUUUGCAAUCUGUGUUACUCCACCAGCCCCUAGAAAUGCUGGGAGGUCACCAGGGUACAGUUCUUCUAUCCCAUAAUUGUCCUGGCUUCCAGGAAAUGGGAAGGGGGCUGGGAGGGGGCGGGCCUAUAGCCUUAUCUUCCCCUGCAGCCUCAUCAAAAUGGACGGGAAACAAUAGGUGAACCCGCCAAGUAGGCUGGAGGUAUUGAAAUCUCUGGGCAUGGAUGGUGGUUCGGUUGGUGGAAUGUCCCUUUCUCUCGGAAGACAAUCGAGUGGCCUUACCUGAGAGCAAGGAACAUGGCGGCAGGGCUCGGAAGAGGAACCCAGACGUCACCUCCGAGGCCAUGGCCCCGGCUGCCUCCUGCCGGUCCUCCUCGGGCGAUCUCCCCGACCAAGCGCUUUUCAGAUUCUGAAAGGAGGGGGUUUCAACCUGAUCCUAAAGUGCCUGGACAGUGGAAGGAAUUGAUCCCCCACAGGCCCUUCUCCCCUCCGACCGCAGCCCUUCCUGGUCUGCUGAGUUCAGGAGGCACCAGUGUCGACCCCCAGGUGAACUUCUUUCCAUUUGCUCCACUUAGGAUUAAAGGGAGUGGGGCUGGGGCUGGGGAUGGGCCAGGCUGGGGUGAAUUUCCAUGGCUGGCCCUCUACUCUCCCCCACUGGGGAACUUUCUGGGACCAGAAACUUCAAGUGCAGAGAAGCACAAGUGGCCGCUCCUUCCAGUCACCGCCCUCCUUGCCACAUUUCCAUUAGCACCAAAAUCACAACAUCCAGAGCCUGGAUGGCUUCGCGGCUUGGAUAAU